rnacentral:tRNA from 1 species
GGAGGAUUAGCUCAGCUGGGAGAGCACCUGGUUUACACCCAGGUUGUCGGCGGUUCGAUCCCGUCAUCCUCCACAA